AGGACAUUCCAUGGAGGAGGCUAGGAUGCAGGAGCUGAUUCUGUGUGAGAUAAUCGAGGUAGGGGCCAUGUGCGAUUCAUUUUUGUAAUCCUGGAACUUGGAAUAAAACAGGGAAUAAGAUGAAGUCCCUGACUUCAUGAGAUCUACGUUCUUUUGGAGAGGGAGAGAAAAGAUACAGAUAACGGAACUGAGUUUUGGAGAGAUUUAUCAACUCACUUCUGAUCACACGGGUGCCGGUUUUGACCAGAAGAAUUGAACAGUGUCUGUAAAACAUUUCACCAGCGCCCGACUGCAGAAUGGGAGCUUAACAGAUGCCAGUCCAUCUCUCCCUAACUCUCUUUCCUGAAAGAUUUCCUCCCACUUCAUUAAGAAGAUCCAACCCCUCGCGCUCUGAGUCUCAGCUCAAAAACGGAAGUAAUCUGGGUUUGCAAACUUACUUGUCGUCCCAGAUCACGGGCCGCUAUGGUUUUCAGGUUCCUCUCUAUGUUUUCCACAACAAGUUUUGCUGCUGGGGUGAAACCUCACUAGAGGCAUCAUCAUAA
rnacentral:lncRNA from 1 species